AUUAUCCUUGCGUUUUCUGUUGAAAGCAAAACAUAAAGCAAAUGAUGGAAAUUUCUGACCAACUGAGAAUGAUAUGGAACUUCCAUGGCUCUGAUGGUUGAACCACUUUGGAAUUGUAGUUCCUGGAAGUGCAAGGCCAUAAGAAGACCACUUAGAAGCGAAGUCCAAUUCAGAUGAAGAGCCCAAUUCAGAUCCAAACUCCUGAUAUGAUGAUCCCAUAUUAGAAUAACCACAUACUAAAUUCCGUGGAAGCCCUAUCACAUCUCCAAGCUGCUUGCAAUUAACAAAA